rnacentral:misc_RNA from 1 species
GUUGGAAGUUGGUGGGCCACACUUCCCCAGCAGUGAUCAUCAUGAGUUGGAAGUUGGUGGGUCACACAUCCCCAACAGUGAUGAUCAUGAGUUGGAAGUUGGUAGGCCACACUUCCCCAACAGUGAUGAACCCAUGGAAACCAAUAGUGAUAAGGAAGCUGAAAGAUGUGCUGAUAGUAAAACACACAUAUCAGAAUCUUCACAAGAUGAUUCUCAAAAGGCUGGGGAUGACGAUGCUUUGGCUGGUGGCAGUCAUUCGGAUGAUAGACCUUCUGAGGAGCUAAUAAAAGACGACAGCUCUGAC